CCAGAGACUGCUGCGUGAAGAUGGCGGAGCUGCGCGCGCUCGUGGCUGUCAAGAGGGUCAUCGACUUCGCCGUGAAGAUUCGGGUAAAGCCUGACAAGUCUGGAGUGGUGACUGAUGGUGUGAAGCACUCCAUGAACCCCUUCUGUGAGAUUGCAGUGGAAGAGGCUGUGCGACUAAAGGAGAAGAAGCUGGUGAAGGAGAUCAUUGCUGUCAGCUGUGGCCCCCCACAGUGCCAGACCAUCCGAACUGCUCUGGCCAUGGGCGCAGACAGAGGCAUCCACGUGGAAGUGCCAGGGGCAGAGGCAGAAAACUUAGGCCCCCUGCAGGUGGCCCGGGUCCUGGCCAAGUUGGCUGAAAAGGAGAAGGUGGACCUUUUGUUCCUGGGCAAGCAGGCUAUUGAUGAUGACUGUAACCAGACAGGUCAGAUGACAGCCGGACUUCUGGACUGGCCGCAGGGUACAUUCGCCUCUCAGGUGACACUGGAGGGGGACAAGGUAAAAGUGGAACGGGAAAUUGACGGGGGUCUGGAGACGAUUCGCCUGAAACUGCCAGCUGUGGUGACUGCUGACUUAAGACUCAAUGAGCCUCGCUAUGCCACACUGCCCAACAUCAUG
rnacentral:lncRNA from 1 species